rnacentral:rRNA from 1 species
CGGUCUGGCGGCGAGUGGCGAACGGGUGAGUAAUGUAUCGGAACGUGCCCAGUAGCGGGGGAUAACUACUCGAAAGAGUAGCUAAUACCGCAUACGCCCUACGGGGGAAAGGGGGGGAUCGCAAGACCUCUCACUAUUGGAGCGGCCGAUAUCGGAUUAGCUAGUUGGUGAGGUAAAGGCUCACCAAGGCGACGAUCCGUAGCUGGUUUGAGAUGACGACCAGCCACACUGGGACUGAGACACGGCCCAGACUCCUACGGGAGGCAGCAGUGGGGAAUUUUGGACAAUGGGGGCAACCCUGAUCCAGCCAUCCCGCGUGUGCGAUGAAGGCCUUCGGGUUGUAAAGCACUUUUGGCAGGAAAGAAAUCGCAUGGAUUAAUACUCUGUGUGGAUGACGGUACCUGCAGAAUAAGCACCGGCUAACUACGUGCCAGCAGCCGCGGUAAUACGUAGGGUGCAAGCGUUAAUCGGAAUUACUGGGCGCAAAGCGUGCGCAGGCGGUUCGGAAAGAAAGAAGUGAAAUCCCAGGGCUUAACCUUGGAACUGCAUUUUUAACUCCCGAGCUAGAGUGCGUCAGAGGGGGGUGGAAUUCCGCGUGUAGCAGUGAAAUGCGUAGAUAUGCGGAGGAACACCGAUGGCGAAGGCAGCCCCCUGGGAUGACACUGACGCUCAUGCACGAAAGCGUGGGGAGCAAACAGGA